AACUGCUAGGAGAUAACAAGUAUCAGGUUACUCUUUUGGUGGGAGAAGAGGCAUGAGGGGCAGUAGAAGCCUGUCCUUUGUUGGAAGAAGCCAUAUUUUAACAUGGAAGUUACUAUUCUCUGUGGCAGCCAUUUUAAGGAGAUCCUCACCACUCCUUGGGGCCAGCUCACUGGAAUUCCUCCCAGUAGAGAGCCCAGAUGAGAAGCAGUGGACCAGACUGUGGAAGUUGAAAGAAAAGAGCAGAGGGAAGCAGUCAGUCAUCUUCACAUGGAGGGGAGCUGGGACAAUGAGCUGAAGGCAAACUGUUCAACCACACAAGCCCAACCAGAGCAGAGAAAGUACCUAGACCUGACACUCCACCAGCUAUCUCGCCUUGUGACUGUGUCUGCCAUAA
rnacentral:lncRNA from 1 species